rnacentral:rRNA from 1 species
GACGAACGCUGGCGGCGUGCUUAACACAUGCAAGUCGAACGGAAAGGCCCUGCUCUUGUGGGGUGCUCGAGUGGCGAACGGGUGAGUAACACGUGAGUAACCUGCCCUUGACUUUGGGAUAACUUCAGGAAACUGGGGCUAAUACCGGAUAGGAUCUCUUGCUGCAUGGUGGGGGUUGGAAAGUUUCGGCGGUUGGGGAUGGACUCGCGGCUUAUGAGCUGGUUGGUGGGGUAGGGGCUUACCAAGGCUUUGACGGGUAGCCGGCCUGAGAGGGUGACCGGCGACAUUGGGACUGAGAGACGGCGCAGAAUCGUACGGGAGGCAGCAGUGGGGAAUAUUGCACAAUGGGCGGAAGCCUGAUGCAGCAGCGCCGCGUGCGUGAUGACGGGCUUCGGGUUGUAAACAGAUGUCGCCUGUGACGAAGCGUGAGUGACGGUAAUGGGUAAAGAAGCACCGGCUAACUACGUG